rnacentral:rRNA from 1 species
UACGGAGGGGGCUAGCGUUGUUCGGAAUCAUUGGGCGUAAAGCGCACGUAGGCGGUCUGUUAUGUCGGAUGUGAAAGCCCUUGGCUUAACCGAGGAAGUGCAUCCGAAACUGGCAGGCUAGAGUACUAAAGAGGGUCGCGGAAUUCCCGGUGUAGAGGUGAAAUUCGUAGAUAUCGGGAGGAACACCGGUGGCGAAGGCGGCGACCUGGGUAGAUACUGACGCUGAGGUGCGAAAGCGUGGGGAGCAAACAGG